rnacentral:rRNA from 1 species
GAUGAACGCUGGCGGCGUGCCUAAUACAUGCAAGUCGAGCGAAUGGAUUAAGAGCUUGCUCUUAUGAAGUUAGCGGCGGACGGGUGAGUAACACGUGGGUAACCUGCCCAUAAGACUGGGAUAACUCCGGGAAAACGGGGCUAAUACCGGAUAACAUUUUGAACCGCAUGGUUCGAAAUUGAAAGGCGGCUUCGGAUGUCGCUUAUGGAUGGACCCGCGUCGCAUUAGCUAGUUGGUGAGGUAACGGCUCACCAAGGCAACGAUGCGUAGCCGACCUGAGAGGGUGAUCGGCCACACUGGGACUGAGACACGGCCCAGACUCCUACGGGAGGCAGCAGUAGGGAAUCUUCCGCAAUGGACGAAAGUCUGACGGAGCAACGCCGCGUGAGUGAUGAAGGCUUUCGGGUCGUAAAACUCUGUUGUUAGGGAAGAACAAGUGCUAGUUGAAUAAGCUGGCACCUUGACGGUACCUAACCAGAAAGCCACGGCUAACUACGUGCCAGCCGCCGCAGUAA